UAGGGAAUCUUCGGCAAUGGACGAAAGUCUGACCGAGCAACGCCGCGUGAGUGAAGAAGGUUUUCGAAUCGUAAAACUCUGUUGGUAGAGAAGAACGUUGGUGAGAGUGGAAAGCUCAUCAAGUGACGGUAACUACCCAGAAAGGGACGGCUAACUACGUGCCAC
rnacentral:rRNA from 1 species